UACGUAGGGUGCGAGCGUUGUCCGGAAUUACUGGGCGUAAAGGGCGCGUAGGCGGUCGUGACAAGUCACUUGUGAAAUCUCCGGGCUUAACUCGGAACGGUCAAGUGAUACUGUCGGACUAGAGUACAGAAGGGGCAACUGGAAUUCUCGGUGUAGCGGUGAAAUGCGUAGAUAUCGAGAGGAACACCUGCGGCGAAGGCGGGUUGCUGGGCUGAUACUGACGCUGAGGCGCGAAAGCCAGGGGAGCGAACGGG
rnacentral:rRNA from 1 species